GGGUUGUGAGGUUAAGCGACUAAGCGUACACGGUGGAUGCCCCGGCAGUCAGAGGCGAUGAAGGACGUGCUAAUCUGCGAUAAGCGUCGGUGAGGUGAUAUGAACCGUUAUAACCGGCGAUUUCCGAAUGGGGAAACCCAGUGUGUUUCGACACACUAUCAUUAACUGAAUCCAUAGGUUAAUGAGGCGAACCGGGGAACUGAAACAUCUAAGUACCCCGAGGAAAGAAAUCAACCGAGAUUCCCCAGUAGCGGCGAGCGAACGGGGAGGAGCCAGAGCCUGAAUCAGUGUGUGUGUUAGUGGAAGCGUCUGGAAAGGCGCGCGAUACAGGGUGACAGCCCCGUACACAAAAUGCACAUACUGUGAGCUCGAUGAGUAGGGCGGGACACGUGGUAUCCUGUCUGAAUAUGGGGACCAUCCUCCAAGGCUAAAUACUCCUGACUGACCGAUAGUGAACCAGUACCGUGAGGGAAAGGCGAAAAGAACCCCGGCGAGGGAGUGAAAAGAACCUGAAACCGUGUACGUACAAGCAGUGGGAGCCUCUUAAUGGGGUGACUGCGUACCUUUUGUAUAAUGGGUCAGCGACUUAUAUUCUGUAGCAAGGUUAACCGAAUAGGAGCCGAAGGAAACCGAGUCUUAACUGGGCGUUAAGUUGCAGGGUAUAGACCCGAAACCCGGUGAUCUAGCCAUGGGCAGGUUGAAGGUUGGGUAACACUAACUGGAGGACCGAACCGACUAAUGUUGAAAAAUUAGCGGAUGACUUGUGGCUGGGGUGAAAGGCCAAUCAAACCGGGAGAUAGCUGGUUCUCCCCGAAAGCUAUUUAGGUAGCGCCUCGUGAAUUCAUCUCCGGGGUAGAGCACUGUUUCGGCAAGGGGUCAUCCCGACUUACCAACCCGAUGCAAACUGCGAAUACCGGAGAAUGUUAUCACGGGAGACACACGGCGGGUGCUAACGUCCGUCGUGAAGAGGGAAACAACCCAGACCGCCAGCUAAGGUCCCAAAGUCAUGGUUAAGUGGGAAACGAUGUGGGAAGGCCCAGACAGCCGGGGAUGUUGGCUUAGAAGCAGCCAUCAUUUAAAGAAAGCGUAAUAGCUCACUGGUCGAGUCGGCCUGCGCGGAAGAUGUAACGGGCUAAACCAUGCACCGAAGCUGCGGCAGCGACGCUUAUGCGUUGUUGGGUAGGGGAGCGUUCUGUAAGCCUGUGAAGGUGGCCUGUGAGGGUUGCUGGAGGUAUCAGAAGUGCGAAUGCUGACAUAAGUAACGAUAAAGCGGGUGAAAAGCCCGCUCGCCGGAAGACCAAGGGUUCCUGUCCAACGUUAAUCGGGGCAGGGUGAGUCGACCCCUAAGGCGAGGCCGAAAGGCGUAGUCGAUGGGAAACAGGUUAAUAUUCCUGUACUUGGUGUUACUGCGAAGGGGACGGAGAAGGCUAUGUUGGCCGGGCGACGGUUGUCCCGGUUUAAGCGUGUAGGCUGGUUUUCCGGCAAAUCCGGAAAAUCAAGGCUGAGGCGUGAUGACGAGGCACUACGGUGCUGAAGCGACAAAUGCCCUGCUUCCGGAAAGCCUCUAAGCAUCAGGUAACAUUAAAUCGUACCCCAAACCGACACAGGUGGUCAGGUAGAGAAUACCAAGGCGCUUGAGAGAACUCGGGUGAAGGAACUAGGCAAAAUGGUGCCGUAACUUCGGGAGAAGGCACGCUGAUAUGUAGGUGAAGCGACUUGCUCGUGGAGCUGAAAUCAGUCGAAGAUACCAGCUGGCUGCAACUGUUUAUUAAAACACAGCACUGUGCAAACACGAAAGUGGACGUAUACGGUGUGACGCCUGCCCGGUGCCGGAAGGUUAAUUGAUGGGGUUAGCGGUAACGCGAAGCUCUUGAUCGAAGCCCCGGUAAACGGCGGCCGUAACUAUAACGGUCCUAAGGUAGCGAAAUUCCUUGUCGGGUAAGUUCCGACCUGCACGAAUGGCGUAAUGAUGGCGAGGCUGUCUCCACCCGAGACUCAGUGAAAUUGAACUCGCUGUGAAGAUGCAGUGUACCCGCGGCAAGACGGAAAGACCCCGUGAACCUUUACUAUAGCUUGACACUGAACAUUGAGCCUUGAUGUGUAGGAUAGGUGGGAGGCUUUGAAGUGUGGACGCCAGUCUGCAUGGAGCCGACCUUGAAAUACCACCCUUUAAUGUUUGAUGUUCUAACGUGGGCCCCUUACCGGGGUUGCGGACAGUGUCUGGUGGGUAGUUUGACUGGGGCGGUCUCCUCCUAAAGAGUAACGGAGGAGCACGAAGGUUGGCUAAUCUGGUCGGACAUCAGGAGGUUAGUGCAAUGGCAUAAGCCAGCUUGACUGCGAGCGUGACGGCGCGAGCAGGUGCAGCAGGUCAUAGUGAUCCGGUGGUUCUGAAUGGAAGGGCCAUCGCUCAACGGAUAAAAGGUACUCCGGGGAUAACAGGCUGAUACCGCCCAAGAGUUCAUAUCGACGGCGGUGUUUGGCACCUCGAUGUCGGCUCAUCACAUCCUGGGGCUGAAGUAGGUCCCAAGGGUAUGGCUGUUCGCCAUUUAAAGUGGUACGCGAGCUGGGUUUAGAACGUCGUGAGACAGUUCGGUCCCUAUCUGCCGUGGGCGCUGGAGAACUGAGGGGGGCUGCUCCUAGUACGAGAGGACCGGAGUGGACGCAUCACUGGUGUUCGGGUUGUCAUGCCAAUGGCACUGCCCGGUAGCUAAAUGCGGAAGAGAUAAGUGCUGAAAGCAUCUAAGCACGAAACUUGCCCCGAGAUGAGUUCUCCUGACUCCUUGAGAGUCCUGAAGGAACGUUGAAGACGACGACGUUGAUAGGCCGGGUGUGUAAGCGCAGCGAUGCGUUGAGCUAACCGGUACUAAUGAACCGUGAGGCUUAACCUUACAACGCCGAAGGUGUUU
rnacentral:rRNA from 1 species